rnacentral:rRNA from 1 species
AGGGAUCAUUACAAGUGACCCCGGUCUAACCACCGGGAUGUUCAUAACCCUUUGUUGUCCGACUCUGUUGCCUCCGGGGCGACCCUGCCUUCGGGCGGGGGCUCCGGGUGGACACUUCAAACUCUUGCGUAACUUUGCAGUCUGAGUAAACUUAAUUAAUAAAUUAAAACUUUUAACAACGGAUCUCUUGGUUCUGGCAUCGAUGAAGAACGCAGCGAAAUGCGAUAAGUAAUGUGAAUUGCAGAAUUCAGUGAAUCAUCGAAUCUUUGAACGCACAUUGCGCCCCCUGGUAUUCCGGGGGGCAUGCCUGUUCGAGCGUCAUUUCACCACUCAAGCCUCGCUUGGUAUUGGGCAACGCGGUCCGCCGCGUGCCUCAAAUCGACCGGCUGGGUCUUCUGUCCCCUAAGCGUUGUGGAAACUAUUCGCUAAAGGGUGUUCGGGAGGCUACGCCGUAAAACAACCCCAUUUCUAAGGUUGACCUCGGAUCAGGUAGGGAUACCCGCUGAACUUAAGCAUAUCAAUAAGCGGAGGAAAAGAAACCAACAGGGAUUGCCUUAGUAACG